rnacentral:rRNA from 1 species
AUUGAACGCUGGCGGAAUGCUUUACACAUGCAAGUCGAACGGCAGCGGACCUUCGGGUGCCGGCGAGUGGCGAACGGGUGAGUAAUAUAUCGGAACGUACCUUUCAGUGGGGGAUAACGUAGCGAAAGUUACGCUAAUACCGCAUAUUCUGUGAGCAGGAAAGCAGGGGAUCGCAAGACCUUGCGCUGAUUGAGCGGCCGAUAUCAGAUUAGCUAGUUGGUGAGGUAAAGGCUCACCAAGGCGACGAUCUGUAGCGGGUCUGAGAGGAUGAUCCGCCACACUGGAACUGAGACACGGUCCAGACUCCUACGGGAGGCAGCAGUGGGGAAUUUUGGACAAUGGGCGCAAGCCUGAUCCAGCCAUGCCGCGUGAGUGAAGAAGGCCUCGG